rnacentral:tRNA from 1 species
GAGGGUGUAGCUUAGGGGUACAGCGCAUGCUUAGCAUGCACGAGGUCCUGGGUUCAAGCCCCCGUACCGCCA